rnacentral:rRNA from 1 species
GAAGAAAGAGGGAGGCGUGCUUAACACAUGCAAGUCGAACGGAAAGGCCUCUUUCGGGGGGUACUCGAGUGGCGAACGGGUGAGUAACACGUGAGUAACCUGCCCUUGACUUUGGGAUAACUUCAGGAAACUGGGGCUAAUACCGGAUAGGAGCUCCUGCUGCAUGGUGGGGGUUGGAAAGUUUCGGCGGUUGGGGAUGGACUCGCGGCUUAUCAGCUUGUUGGUGGGGUAGUGGCUUACCAAGGGUUUGACGGGUAGCCGGCCCGAGAGGGUGACCGGCCACAUUGGGACUGGGGUACGGCCCAGACUCCUACGGGGGGGAGCAGUGGGGAAUAUUGCACCAUGGGUGGAAGCCUGAUGCAGCAACGCCGUGUGCGGGAUGACGGCCUUCGGGUUGUAAACCGCUUUCGCUCAUGACGAAGCUUUGUGUGACGGUAGUGGGUAAAGAAGCACCGGCUAACUACGUG